ACGAACGCUGGCGGCGUGCCUAACACAUGCAAGUCGAACGAAGGCCCUAGCUUGCUAGGUGUCCUUAGUGGCGAACGGGUGAGUAACACGUGGGAACCUGCCCUAGUGUGGGGGAUAACUACGGGAAACUGUAGCUAAUACCGCAUACGCCCCCAGGGGGAAAGGCUUCGGCCGCACCUGGAGGGGCCCGCGUCGGAUUAGUUUGUUGGUGGGGUAAUGGCCUACCAAGACUACGAUCCGUAACUGGUCUGAGAGGACGAUCAGUCACACUGGAACUGAGACACGGUCCAGACUCCUACGGGAGGCAGCAGUGGGGAAUUUUGCACAAUGGGGGAAACCCUGAUGCAGCGACGCCGCGUGGGUGAUGAAGGCCUUAGGGUUGUAAAGCCCUUUCAGCAGGGAAGAUGAUGACGGUACCUGCAGAAGAAGCCCCGGCUAACUCCGUGCCAGCAGCCGCGGUAAUACGGAGGGGGCUAGCGUUGUUCGGAAUCACUGGGCGUAAAGCGCGCGUAGGCGGUUAGGAAAGUUGGGAGUGAAAGCCCAGGGCUCAACCCUGGAACUGCUCUCAAAACUUCCUGGCUAGAGAAAUUAGAGAGGUGGGCGGAAUUCCGAGUGUAGAGGUGAAAUUCGUAGAUAUUCGGAAGAACACCAGUUGCGAAGGCGGCUCACUGGCUAAUUUCUGACGCUGAGGUGCGAAAGCGUGGGGGAGCAAACAGGAUUAGAUACCCUGGUAGUCCACUGCUGUAAACGAUGGGUGCUAGACGUUGGAAAGCAUGCUUUUCAGUGUCGCAGCUAACGCAUUAAGCACCCCGCCUGGGAAGUACGGUCGCAAGAUUAAAACUCAAAGGGAUUGACGGGGGCCCGCACAAGCGGUGGAGCAUGUGGUUUAAUUCGACGCAACGCGAAGAACCUUACCAGCUCUUGACAUGCCUGUCGCGGGACUGAGAGAUCAGUCCCUUCAGUUCGGCUGGACAGUGCACAGGUGCUGCAUGGCUGUCGUCAGCUCGUGUCGUGAGAUGUUGGGUUAAGUCCCGCAACGAGCGCAACCCUCACCUUUAGUUGCCAGCAUUAAGUUGGGCACUCUAGAGGAACCGCCGGUGAUAAGCCGGAGGAAGGCGGGGAUGACGUCAAGUCCUCAUGGCCCUUACGGGCUGGGCUACACACGUGCUACAAUGGCGACUACAGAGGGAAGCAAAGCGGCAACGCGGAGCCAAUCCCCAACAGUCGUCUCAGUUCGGAUUGUCCUCUGCAACUCGAGGGCAUGAAGUCGGAAUCGCUAGUAAUCGCGUAUCAGCAUGACGCGGUGAAUACGUUCCCGGGCCUUGUACACACCGC
rnacentral:rRNA from 1 species